rnacentral:tRNA from 1 species
GAAGGUAUAGCUCAGUGGUAGCGUGCGUGCCUAGCAUGCACAAGGUCCCGGGUUCAAUCUUCAGUACCUGCA